ACCAGGAAAACACGCAAACUCCACACAGAAAUGAAAACUGACCCAGCUGAGACUCAAACCGGAGACCUUCUUGCUGUGAGGUAACAGCACUCCCCACUGUGCCACCGCGCCACCCUAACAUUAACUAUUGGACUAUUAUUGUAAAGUGUUAACAAAAAAUAAUUUGGUAUAAAAAAUAGUUAACAGACUACUGGCAUUCAUAUGAAGAAAUCAGACAGAAUCAAACAUUAAUGCUAAAAAUGUGAUCAUUUUUGUCAAGGGCUAAAUCACUAUUGGUCUUGCAAUCAUUUGUUAAUGCGCCCACAAUAUGAUGUUGAGGUCACGCAUUGCAAGUUUUGGGUGAUGGUUGUUUGUAUGAAUGUGUGGUUGUAAUCAGCAACACCGAGGUCUAUAAUCAAUCAGCUGUGAGCGGCUGGUUUCUCUCUCUGGGGCAGGAAUCCUGCCAGCCAUCAGCCAAUAAGCCAAGGACCCACACAGAGUGGAAUCAAUACAAACACUCAUACACUCAGCAGCUCAAGAGCGAUUCUCUCCAGUCUAGUCUGAUGAGAACUCACAGCCGCUGGUAGCUGCUUUAAGAACCUGUGUUUAAAAGAUGACAUUGCUGGAAACAGAUGGACAGGUUGAUAAAGAGAGAUCAUUAAAGUGAAGUUGGUUGUCAAUAAAACCAUUUGAGUUGAUGAAUUAGUUCUUCACACAAACAGUACACAGCAAACCUUAUGAAAAAGAAUUUUCAGUAAAGGUUUAUUUCUUUUUCAUGCAGUACUCAAGCUACUUUUAUUUAAAUCUAUGGUUUGAGUAGUGUUGUUUAUAAUGUAAUUAAAACACAAUUAUUAUUUAACAAUAAUUACUAACUGCAUUUAAUGAGUAUUCGCUGAUGAGUGAAAACGUUGUCACAAGUUUAGAGGCGAACUGAAUAUGGUUGUGCAUCUUCUAUCAAGGCCACAAUUUAAAUCCUGAGUAGAUUAGUUGGUAAACAAAGAGAUGAAGAAAUAGUCAAUAAAGAUGUGAGAAGUUCUGACUUAGGUCAGAUGGUUAUGGCAAGGAGACUGAGUCACAGUAUCUCUAAAAUGGCGGUACUAACGUUUUUUGUUUUUUUUUUUUGCUAACAAUAAGACUCGGCAGUAGUAGUAAUACAAGUUACAGAUAGUGGUCUGAAAUUGGACAAACCACAAACCAGCAACUUAGUGUUGGGUGCUCAAGGCUCAUCUGUGCAUUGGGGAAGUACAAAUCCAAUUUAUGUAGUGGACUCUGCAAGAUAUUUUUAAAGAUGCUCAAAAAGCAGAGAUCCAAGUCUCAAAAUAAGCUUCAUUGAAUUCAGAAGAAAAGACCUUAGUCACAUAGCAUACCAACCACCAUCUCUGAUUCAGACUGCUUGUACAUCAUCAUUUAUACCCUGUCCUUAUCAAUUCCAUGUGACCAAAGCCCAACUCCGUAAGUUGGUCAUAUCCCAUCUAUGGCACAACUCACAAAUACAAAUGAUGGUUAUAAGAGGAAUGUGUCACAACACACAGUGCAUCGUACCCAGUUAAGUAAGGGGCCACAAAGUGCAUAUGAUGACAUUUGUCUAUUAUUGGAAGCACCUAAAUGUGUAUGUGAGAAGCAGAAUUAGACCUUGGAGCAUGAGAAGGGUUUUUUUUUUUACAUAAUGUGGAUUGCCAUGUGUGUGAGCAUCAUUUACCUGGAGAUGUGAUGACACCAACCCAGGCUCAUUCUGAAUACGUACCCCUAUAUACAUAUCUGGAAAGAGCAAAAUGCAUCCUAGGAGCAUUUUUUUUUCUUCAGUUUUGGUUUUCGCGAAUCAACUAGAGGCUGCUGUGUACACUCUUUGACAUCUCAAUAUCUGUCAUGAGUGCCAUUCGCGCCUACUCUUCUAACAAAAAUCCCCCAGAGGCCGCUGUUGACUAACUCACUGACUGACUGACUGACCAAUCGACCGAUCCCCCCACACUCCUCUUUCCCUUAACCCAACCAAUAGUAUUUUGAAAAGCACCUAUUGACCUGCCCACCCCCUUCCCUAAACCCAACCGCAGUGUUUUAAAAUGAAAAAGAAAAGCCCCCUAAUUUUUACCACAUUUUCAGAUUUUACAACAUUCUCACCCUGAUAUUUACUUAUUUGGCUUUUGUUAUGUCUUAGCUGCUUUCUGGAUCCGUUCUUCACUGGACUCAGACCCUGUUGUCGCAGUCAACUCCUCACUGCAUCUCAAGUUUGCCGACGUACGUGUCGAGCUACUGGACAAACUGGUAACAGCAGAAAAGCCGUUCACAUGCAGGUAAGCUGUCAGCUGAUUAGUGAGAAAAGAAACGCGUCAUGCUAUUCCAUAUUAUUAGUUUUAAAGACGAAAUGCAGCCAUAAGUUAGCUACAUAAUUUGCGAUCUUCAGAAAUGUAUAUAAGGCUAUGUUUCAGAAUGAGCCUAUGUUGGAUGACACAGUAUGCACCAUGGGAAAACAACUGGCUAUAGGAGGGAUUCUAGUGCUUUGGUCAAUGUCAUACUUGGAGGCAGUGGGUCUAGCUAUUCCUGUGUACAAAAGUUUAUCAAGUACUACCAACCUAAACAUUGAAGCAGCCCAGAAACACCCACCUCUUCAUGACAAGUGUCCUUUAUUCAGCAGCAUAAUGCACCUUUGAUGAAGAGUUCAAGGUGUUGGCCUGGCCUCCAAAUCCCACUGAUCAGAAUCUAACUCAAGGUCUGUCGGAUUGGAUGUCCUGACCAAAAAUUUUGAUUCAUGGUGGCCCCAUCUUGCAACUUCCAUAACUUGAAAGAUCAGCUCCCAAUAGAUUCCACAGGACACCUUCAGUGGGCUUGCAACAUAUACAUCCUGAAAGGUUCUGUCUAGCAGACUGUGUGCACGGUGAGCCUCCUGUGGCCUUAUUACUCAGCUAUCCUGCAAAGGUACGAAGGGUUCGGAGGCACUCACAAAUCUUAUGCAGUAAUGAUCUCCAAAGGGAUUCUUCUCUUAGAGUCCAGGCCCUUGAGCUACACCGCAGAUAUUCUUUCAAAACGGACUUAAACUAGAGGGAUCUGUACAUGGAGGCUCCCUCUAAUGUGACAGGUACUGAGGUUCUUGCAACAAGUUCCCUGUCACUGAAUACCUGUAAACAAAGUACUGAUUGCUGGAGGAACAAAAGCUGUCCUACCAAACUAAGGUUCUAUAGGUCCCUGAACAGUCAGACAUUGUGCUUCCAAAGAGCUCCUCGACACCCUGAGCUGGUUGAGGGAAGGAGGGAAAAAUGAUAAGACAGACGAAAGCAUGGUUGUACAAACUCCUGACAAGUCACAAAGACAGGACUCGACAUAACUGGAGCAGAGCCCCCUCUUCACCUUCCUCCUCCACACACAAAAUCUGCACUCGUCUGCACACAAACACAGGAAAACGUGGCUGCAGGCAAAUCUACAAGAGGCGAAUUGGCAGCUGAAAUCAGCAUGCACUGACGGCAGAUAUGUCUCGAUUAGCUCACCGUGCUACUUGGCAUGAGUCUCUGAAUUAGUGUGGUGGGCACAACAGUGAAGUUUAUUCCCUUUGUUGCUGAUCUCCUGGUAAUCACAGUGUCACUGCUACUGUAUAUGUCAUCGCUGCAAUUCAGUGCUCACCGCAAACAUUCAGCGCACUAAAACCUGAGAAUUUUUCACAAUGGACUGGUGCUGUAGCUCUGCAGAUGGGUUAAUUUUGUCUUUCUGUGUCACCCACGGCUGGUAAAGUGGCGGGGGCGGAAGAGGAAGGAGCUGUCGCGCUGAAACAGACACAUCCCUCAGCAGCUCUCAAGAAAAUCUACCAAGUUAAACAGUGGUGUUCCCUCUCUGCAGAUCUGAGCAUCCUUAUAAUUAGACCCAUUCGCUCAGCAUGACUGCAAUGCUACAUUUUCUAAAUCUCUCUUUGGGACUUCCGCAGUUUGGUUUGCAUUAAAUGUUUACACUGCACUGAUCCCAGUAAAGCCAGCAGAAUGUGCGAUUUCAGCAAUAUUUACAAAUCUUGCUGAGGGAAAUGUCUCCAAUGCAAUGGAUCUGUGUGAUGAUGACACCUACUGAAUUUUAGACUAAGAUGCAAUUUAAAAGAAUCAAAUUUCAUUAGGAUUUGCUAGUGGUAAACAAAUGGAAGAAUCUUGCUCGUGGGCCUGGCCAAACAUGUGACCUCUAUAGGACACUAGCAGCCUUUGAACCCAGCAAGCAUUUUAAAAGAAGUCUAAUAGAGAUCUAAUAGACAUCUAUGCAGCAACAGAUUGGCUAAAACAGAACUUUGAGCUCGCAGUGAAAAUCUAAUAGAAGUCUAAGAAUAACUCAUCAACACACAUGAAGUUCGUCUAAUCUGUUUAUCUGAUGACUAGAGUGUAGUUUUGGCCAAUUCUUAUGCUGUGUUCACACCAGACGCGGAACGCUUGAAUAAAUCGCGAAAUUCGCAAGUAAAUAGGAGCAUGAACAUUUUUCAUUUACUCGCUUCAUUCGCGGGUCAAAUUUACGUCACAAUAGAUGCAGAUUCGCAUCAUGGGCGGGGCUUCGGUCUGCUUCUGUCAGCUUCGUUGGUAAAUGGUUAACAUGGAUUUUAUAGAGAGAAUAGCUGUGUUUAUGUGCUUUAUGAAGGCUGAAAAACAGCGUUGAUUCUUUUGGAGCCGUGUCUGAGUACAGUAGAUCCAUUCAGAGGUGCACCCAGCUCUGUGAGCUCAUAAACUCCCCAAAAAAUAUACCUGGAUGAUGGAAGCUUUCAGUGGUGCUUCAGACUGAACAGAGCAGAAGGAGGAUUUUCCCCUGGGACACCAACAACAGGCGCAUGUCAUAAUCACGUCCCAUACAAGAGAAAGCUCCUGAUUAGUUAACGUGUCGCGAAUGUCCUCUAAAGUUCAGAUUUUCCAACCUGAGCGAUACGCGCGCCUCUUCAUUCGCAUGAAUCGCAUCAUUCGCGCCACCUCAUUCGUGCGUAUUGUGUCGCAGGAUGUCUAUUCGCUUCUUUGCAUUGACUUAACAUUGCUUCUUCCGCGUCUGGUGUGAACGCAGCGUAAGACGUCUAUUAAAUUUUCUGACAGCCCAAAUUUAGACUUGAACCGUCUGUUUAGUCUUCUUUUAUACAUCUAUUAAAUGCAAAAUUGCUUGGAGGGAAAUGAGACACAGAUUCAGAGUUAUAAAAUCCAUGUGAGGUGGUGUUUAAUUCGCAAAUGAUACAAAUAUUAAAAACGUUAACAUUAGCUGAGCAGUUUAAAGUGUAUUGCUGGGAUCACACCAAACAUGGACUACUGCGUCACUUGCUCUAGUUUACUCACAGGAUGUUUUUCACCUCAGUGAAUUUUCCGCUUGAGCGAAGUUAUUCGAAUUUUACAUUCACACUAAAUGCAUUGUUUAUUUCCUUUCAAAUACACCUGUUCCUGCACCUCCGUUGACUUUUCAUGUAAUGUACUCAGGUGAAUACUUAAUUUCGCUUUUAGCUUGCUCCUGCUGGUGUCAUCAAUCUGGCUACCUACCUGUGCAUCAAUCCUACAUACUACACCUUUAACAAUUGCUUGUAAUAACUUUUAAUAAUCAAUCUCUUGAAAUGAAUGCCAAAACUGCGCCCUAUACUGACAUUGAGAAGAACUGUUGUAAAAAAACGUUUCAUUUUUUGUUUAAUGUGUGCACAAACGUGUUCUCAUAGCUUCAUAAUGCUCAAAUUAAACCGCAAAGACACACA